rnacentral:rRNA from 2 species
CGAGCGAUGAAACUUUAACAGAACCCUUCGGGGCGAAGAUAAAGUGGAUUAGCGGCGGACGGGUGAGUAACACGUGAGUAACCUGCCUUAGACAUUGGGAUAGCCUCGGGAAACCGGGAUUAAUACCAAAUAAAAUCAUAAUGACACAUGUCAUAACGAUCAAAACUCCGGUGGUCUAAGAUGGACUCGCGUCCCAUUAGCUAGUUGGUAGAGUAAAAGCCUACCAAGGCGACGAUGGGUAGCCGGCCUGAGAGGGUGAACGGCCACAUUGGAACUGAGAAACGGUCCAAACUCCUACGGGAGGCAGCAGUGGGGAAUAUUGCACAAUGGAGGGAACUCUGAUGCAGCGACGCCGCGUGAACGAAGAAGGCUUUCGAGUCGUAAAGUUCUUUUAUAUGGGAAGAUAAUGACGGUACCAUAAGAAAAAGCCCCGGCUAACUACGUGCCAGCAGCCGCGGUAAUACGUAGGGGGCUAGCGUUGUCCGGAAUCACUGGGCGUAAAGGGUUCGCAGGCGGAAAUGCAAGUCAGAUGUAAAAGGCAGUAGCUUAACUACUGUAAGCAUUUGAAACUGCAUAUCUUGAGAAGAGUAGAGGUAAGUGGAAUUUUUAGUGUAGCGGUGAAAUGCGUAGAUAUUAAAAAGAAUACCGGUGGCGAAGGCGACUUACUGGGCUCAUUCUG